UCCACUUCUUGGCUAAUGAGAACACCCAGGGCAGAGGAGACCCCGUGGCUUUCUGUGCCUGUGUGGACCCCAGGUCUCUAAAUUCCUGUCAGGUGGCCUAAUGCUGCUGCUACAGAAAUUCUCUUUUGACGGUGGGGCUGUUUGUGAAUCCCAAGCCCUCCCACCACUGAAAGUCAAGUCUGGAACUCUGAAAAGGAAGCAUAGGGAGGGAGGCCACAUGGAGGAGCGGUAGGAUCCGUUAGGAGGUUUGCUAUGUGUCCAUGGAGCCCAUCCUUCCUCUGCCUCCCUUGUCCCUCCCUUCUUCUUCUCUCACCCACUCCCCUUUCUCUGUUAUAGCCGAAAUUGUUCGUAGCCCCGUGGAAGAAGAAGAAUGCCUGAAUGUGUCAGUAGGGAGGCGAGGGAUCCUUUCCCAUUGGAGACUUGCUUUUUCUUCCGGUUGAGUCUAGUUUCUCUUCACUCUUUGAACACUUGGAGACAUGAAUUAAUUCCCCUGGUCACUGUGUCACUCAUUUGUCGGCUCACUCGGCUGCUCACCCCAUCCGUGUCUUUUCUUUUUUUUUUUUUUUUUUUUUUUUUUUUUUUUUUUUUUUUUUUUUUUUUUUUUUUUUUUUUUUUUUUUUUUUUUUUUUUUUUUUUUUUUUUUUUUUUUUUUUUUUUUUUUUUUUUUUUUUUUUUUUUUUUUUUUUUUUUUUUUUUUUUUUUUUUUUUUUUUUUUUUUUUUUUUUUUUUUUUUUUUUUUUUUUUUUUUUUUUUUUUUUUUUUUUUUUUUUUUUUUUUUUUUUUUUUUUUUUUUUUUUUUUUUUUUUUUUUUUUUUUUUUUUUUUUUUUUUUUUUUUUUUUUUUUUUUUUUUUUUUUUUUUUUUUUUUUUUUUUUUUUUUUUUUUUUUUUUUUUUUUUUUUUUUUUUUUUUUUUUUUUUUUUUUUUUUUUUUUUUUUUUUUUUUUUUUUUUUUUUUUUUUUUUUUUUUUUUUUUUUUUUUUUUUUUUUUUUUUUUUUUUUUUUUUUUUUUUUUUUUUUUUUUUUUUUUUUUUUUUUUUUUUUUUUUUUUUUUUUUUUUUUUUUUUUUUUUUUUUUUUUUUUUUUUUUUUUUUUUUUUUUUUUUUUUUUUUUUUUUUUUUUUUUUUUUUUUUUUUUUUUUUUUUUUUUUUUUUUUU
rnacentral:lncRNA from 1 species